GGAGAGUGCGAAGAUGGUGGUGAUGGGUGCUACUGGAAUUGGUUGGAGUACCAUGUGGCUUGCGGAGGGACCCGUCUUGGCUGGUGGCGGAGAUAGUGGUGGGGAUCCGCAGUGGACGGAGGCGCAGGUGGCAGUUGCGGUGGUCUCAUGUAUCCAUGGUGCUGUUGGUAAGCAUCCAUAGCGGCCCGUGACUCUGUGUGGGUUUUGAUCGUUACGAGUAAUGCAAAGAGU
rnacentral:misc_RNA from 1 species